rnacentral:rRNA from 1 species
GACCUGAGAUCAGACAAGGACACCCGCUGAACUUAAGCAUAUCAAUAAGCGGAGGAAAAGAAACUAAC